UGGGGUAUCGCCAAGCGGUAAGGCACCGGUCUGAUUCCGGCAUUCCGAGGUUCGAAUCCUCGUACCCCAGCCA
rnacentral:tRNA from 1 species